AAUUAUAUAUUCUAUGUAGAGGAUAUUGAAUUGCAAAUUCAAAGGAAAAAUUUUUUUAUUUUUAUAAUUU
rnacentral:tRNA from 1 species